AGCUUAUUGUAUUUUUUAUAUGUAAUAUGAGCUGUCUAUACGAAAAUAAGAAAAAUUAACAUCUCAUUUUGUAUAAAGAUAAAUAUGAAAUAAGAUUUUAUCUGCAUGCUUGAUGUUUAACAAUUUGACAAUGCAAAAACUUAUAAUUUCUAUUUCUAUAAGCAAUUCAUUAAUAUUUGUAAGAAAGGUGAUCAGUGGCCAGAAAUUUCAGGAAAAGUGGGAAUUAUGCAUGAAUUUUGUCUACUGGAGAAAAGUCAGAAAUUAUAUGUGGGUUUUUCUUAAAACAUUUCUUUCAUUUGAAAAAUCACAAGAAAAAUUUCAUCAUAUUGGUGAUCAGCCAAAUGAUGAUAUAGUCUAAUAGCAAAGCUACUUCUUGAGGUUCGAGACAAUCCAAGGCUACUACUUCAUCAGGCUCCUAACUUCUGACCAUUACAGUACUAAUUAUCACUAGAACCAGCUGAACAAUUUUUCAAAAAAGCAAUUGAAAAAUUAAUAGACAACUGGAUUAUUGUAAAUAAUAAAAUAGAAUACAUAAUUUAUUAAAAAUAAAAAUU
rnacentral:lncRNA from 1 species